CGUAGGUGCGAGCGUUAAUCGGAAUUACUGGGCGUAAAGCGUGCGCAGGCGGUCUUGCAAGACAGGUGUGAAAUCCCCGGGCUUAACCUGGGAACUGCACUUGUGACUGCAAGGCUGGAGUACGGCAGAGGGGGAUGGAAUUCCGCGUGUAGCAGUGAAAUGCGUAGAUAUGCGGAGGAACACCGAUGGCGAAGGCAAUCCCCUGGGCCUGUACUGACGCUCAUGCACGAAAGCGUGGGAGCAAACAGGAUU
rnacentral:rRNA from 1 species